UAAACCUCUCUGCCCAGGUGCCAGCUUGGUGACCUCAGGCAAACUGAAAGAAAGUCUGGAAGAGUUUAACUAAGGGACGAAUAUCUACACCAUGAGGUGUGGUAAGCACCACUCGGAGGGUGUCUUUCAAUCCAGGGGAGGAUGUAACCAACCAUUCUCUACAGCCUGCUUGGGUGAAUGUGCCCCAGGGCGAGUCACUUGUGGAAGGGCUGCUGUAUGUGCUAAGGUAAACUCUGCACUCAAUAUCCACAGCAAUACAGCAACACAGAAUAUCCACAACAAUACCACAAUACAGAAUAUCCACAGUAAUAUAGAAUAAGCACAGAAAUACAACAAUACAGAAUAUCCACAGCAAUACAGAAUAUCCACAGCAAAACAGAAUAUCCACAGCAAAACAACAAUACAGAAUAUCCACAGCAAUACAGAAUAUCCACAGCAAUACAGAAUAUCCACAGCAAAACAACAAUACAGAAUACCCACAGCAAUACAGAAUAUCCACAGCAAAACAACAAUACAGAAUAUCCACAACAAUACAGAAUAUCCACAGCAAUAUAGAAUACCCACAGCAAUACAGAAUAUCCACAGCAAAACAACAAUACAGAAUACCCACAGCAAUACAGAAUAUCCACAACAAUACAGAAUAUCCACAGCAAUACAGAAUAUCCACAGCAAUACAGAAUAUCC
rnacentral:lncRNA from 1 species